rnacentral:ncRNA from 1 species
UUUCUCCCAGAAUAGCUGGAGUUCGUUGCGGUUAUAUACGGGAAAGCGAAUGAUUAGAGGAAUUGGGGUCGAAACGACCUCAACCUAUUCUCAAUCUUUCAAUGGGUAUGUUGGCUCGGUUUCUUUAUUGAUGAUUGACAUUGUGAACUACGGUAGUAAUACGCAGGAUAUUAGUUGCUUGACCACGGGCAUCUAUAUCAGGCCCGAGUUUAUUCAAACUCGA